AAGCGACCAAGCGUACACGGUGGAUGCCCUGGCAGUCAGAGGCGAUGAAGGACGUGCUAAUCUGCGAAAAGCGCCGGUAAGGUGAUAUGAACCGUUAUAACCGGCGAUGUCCGAAUGGGGAAACCCAGUGUGACUCGUCACACUAUCAUUAACUGAAUCCAUAGGUUAAUGAGGCGAACCGGGGGAACUGAAACAUCUAAGUACCCCGAGGAAAAGAAAUCAACCGAGAUUCCCCCAGUAGCGGCGAGCGAACGGGGAGGAGCCCAGAGCCUGAAUCAGCAUGUGUGUUAGUGGAAGCGUCUGGAAAGGCGCGCGAUACAGGGUGAGAGCCCCGUACACAAAAGCGCACAUGCUGUGAGCUCGAUGAGUAGGGCGGGACACGUGGUAUCCUGUCUGAAUAUGGGGGGACCAUCCUCCAAGGCUAAAUACUCCUGACUGACCGAUAGUGAACCAGUACCGUGAGGGAAAGGCGAAAAGAACCCCGGCGAGGGGAGUGAAACAGAACCUGAAACCGUGUACGUACAAGCAGUGGGAGCCUCUCUUUAUG
rnacentral:rRNA from 1 species